rnacentral:tRNA from 1 species
GGAUUGUGGCUCAGUGGUACAGCACUUGCCUAACAUGUGUGAGGCACUAGGUUCAAUUCUCAGCACCA